rnacentral:sRNA from 1 species
GCUGGGCAUGGUGGCGUGUGCCUGUAAUCCCAGCUACUCAGGAGGCUGAGGCAGGAGAAUUGCUUGAACCCGGGAGGCAGAGGUUGCAGUAAGCCAAGAUGGCGCCACUGCACUCCAGCCUGGGUGACAGAGUGAGACUCUGUCUCAA